GACGAACGCUGGCGGCGUGCUUAAUACAUGCAAGUCGAGCGAGGUUACUGUUUUGGAUCCCUUCGGGGUGAAGAAGCUUUAACCUAGCGGCGGACGGGUGAGUAACGCGUGGGUAACCUACCCCAAAGUCCGGGAUAACAGCGGGAAACCGCUGCUAAUACCGGAUGCCUUUACCUUGGGGCAUCUUGAGGUAAAGAAAGGUAACGCUUUGGGAUGGGCCCGCGUCCCAUUAGCUAGUUGGUGAGGUAACGGCUCACCAAGGCGACGAUGGGUAGCCGGCCUGAGAGGGUGGACGGCCACACUGGGACUGAGACACGGCCCAGACUCCUACGGGAGGCAGCAGUAGGGAAUAUUGCGCAAUGGACGGAAGUCUGACGCAGCGACGCCGCGUGAGCGAUGAAGGUCUUCGGAUCGUAAAGCUCUGUCCUUGGGGAAGAAGGUCUUCGGACUUGACGGUACCCAAGAAGAAAGCCCCGGCUAACUACGUG
rnacentral:rRNA from 1 species